rnacentral:tRNA from 1 species
GAGGGUAUAGCUCAGUGGCAGAGUAUGUGCUUAGCAUGCACAAGGUCCUGAGUUCAAUCCCCAGUACUUCCA